AGGGAAUUUUCCGCAAUGGGCGAAAGCCUGACGGAGCAACGCCGCGUGAGUGAGGACGGCCUUCGGGUUGUAAAACUCUGUUCUUGAGGAAGAAUUCCUUCCAGGCGAACAGCCUGGGAGGUUGACGGUACUCAAGGAGAAAGCCCCGGCUAACUACGUGCCAGCAGCCGCGGUAAUACGUAGGGGGCGAGCGUUAUCCGGAAUUAUUGGGCGUAAAGCGCGCGCAGGCGGCCGAUUAAGUCAGGUGUGAAAGGCUGCGGCUCAACCGCAGAGCGGCACCUGAAACUGGUCGGCUUGAGUGCAGGAGAGGGGAGCGGAAUUCCCGGUGUAGCGGUGGAAUGCGUAGAGAUCGGGAGGAACACCAGUGGCGAAGGCGGCUCUCUGGCCUGUAACUGACGCUGAGGCGCGAAAGCGUGGGGAGCAAAC
rnacentral:rRNA from 1 species